GUACGGCAAUGGCAAAGAAAAAGCCAACUACUAAGCCUGUCUGUCUACCACAUUACUUUAUUGGCUUCCAAAUAAACCCAAUCCUAGGGGACAAAAGAUGUGAAUCCAUAUCAGAAGAGAGAGGCAGUUCUGGAUUCCUGAGGUAUUCAUUGAAGACUGAGUAAGUGUGGAGUUUCCAUCAUGGCUCAGUGGUAAUGAAUCCGACUAGUAUCCAUGAGGACCCAAAUUCGAUCUCUGCCCUCACUCAGUGGAUUAAGGAUCCAGUGUUGCUAUGAGCAGUGGUGUAAGGUUGCAGAUGCAGCUCGGAUCUUGCAUAGGCCAGCAGCUGCAGCUCUUUAUUGGACUCCUGCAUGUGCUACAGGUGCAGCUCUAAAAAGCAAAACCAAAACC
rnacentral:lncRNA from 1 species